rnacentral:rRNA from 1 species
UCAGAGUAGGGGCCGGCGGCGGGGGGAGUUCGUGGGUGGGGAGCGUUGUCAGGAAUUAUUGGGGGUGAAGGGGUCGUAGGCGGUCUGUUGCGUCGGGGGUGAAAACUCAGGGCUUAACCCUGGGCCGGCUUCCGAUACGGGCAGACUAGAGGUAUGCAGGGGAGAACGGAAUUCCUGGUGUAGCGGUGAAAUGCGCAGAUAUCAGGAGGAACACCGGUGGCGAAGGCGGUUCUCUGGGCAUUACCUGACGCUGAGGAGCGAAAGUGUGGGGAGCGAACAGGAUUAGAUACCCCAGUAGUC